rnacentral:lncRNA from 1 species
UCUGUUCAUUCAAUUAUACCUAUUGACAUAAUUAUUCAGUCAACUUAGAAGUCUUUUUUACUAAUGUUUAAGCUAUAGACAAGAAUUUUGUGAGCCAUUUAUAUUUAAAACCCUGACUUUUGUAAUAAUCUAGUCUAGAACAUAAUUUUAUUUUUCAUCUUUCCUUCUAUCCCUUCUUAGCUACCACAGGAUUUCCGAAUUUGAAGCAUUUGGAUGAUGUAGCCUGACACCUCCCAAUUCACUAACCUUCCUGUCUAAGAAGAGUAGACAGUGUGGUCUAAUUGAUUCCAGAGUUCUUGGCGGUGAAGCCUAUCAUACUUCAGAUGAAUGGUGUAGAAGUCAUGUUUCCAUGAUGCUCUGAGAUUUUAUCCAUCACCAUGAAAGAACAUACCCAG